rnacentral:rRNA from 1 species
UCAUGAUUUACAUUUGAGUGAGUGGCGAACUGGUGAGUAACACGUGGGAAACCUGCCCAGAAGCGGGGGAUAACACCUGGAAACAGAUGCUAAUACCGCAUAACAACUUGGACCGCAUGGUCCGAGUUGAAAGAUGGCUUCGGCUAUCACUUUUGGAUGGUCCCGCGGCGUAUUAGCUAGAUGGUGGGUAACGGCUCACCAUGGCAAUGAUACGUAGCCGACCUGAGAGGGUAAUCGGCCACAUUGGGACUGAGACACGGCCCAAACUCCUACGGGAGGCAGCAGUAGGGAAUCUUCCACAAUGGACGAAAGUCUGAUGGAGCAACGCCGCGUGAGUGAAGAAGGGUUUCGGCUCGUAAAACUCUGUUGUUAAAGAAGAACAUAUCUGAGANUAACUGUUCAGGUAUUGACGGUAUUUAACCAGAAAGCCACGGCUAACUACGUGCCAGCAGCCGCGGUAAUACGUAGGUGGCAAGCGUUGUCCGGAUUUAUUGGGCGUAAAGCGAGCGCAGGCGGUUUUUUAAGUCUGAUGUGAAAGCCUUCGGCUCAACCGAAGAAGUGCAUCGGAAACUGGGAAACUUGAGUGCAGAAGAGGACAGUGGAACUCCAUGUGUAGCGGUGAAAUGCGUAGAUAUAUGGAAGAACACCAGUGGCGAAGGCGGCUGUCUGGUCUGUAACUGACGCUGAGGCU